GGGCGCUUAGCUCAGCGGUAGAGCGCUCGCCUUACACGCGAUCGGUCACAGGUUCGAAUCCUGUAGCGCCCA
rnacentral:tRNA from 1 species